GACUCCAACAAAGCUGAAAUAGAACAAAUCGACACAGACAAACAAAUACAGAAUCAAUGUGAGAAACAAAGCAAAAUGGAACACAGAAUUAUCAAUCAGUUGCUUGGUGGUGGGGUGAGGGAAGGAAUGGCUGGGAUGGAGGGCAUGGGAGCCAAAGUUGCCUUGGGGAUGCUUGGGAGUGGGGGCAGUGUAGUAAUUGUAGGGAGCGUAGGUAAUGUUGGCUGGGGAAGACUAGG
rnacentral:lncRNA from 1 species